CAGUAAACAAUACUUAGUACUAUAAACACACCAUAAAUACAUCAUAAACACAUCCUAAAGUGACUAAGAAAUUACACUUCCAGAAAGCACUUUAAACACACCAUAAACUAUUAAAACAGUUUUGUACUGAAUCCUAAACAAUGGGGGACUACACAGAACACUUUAACCUGCACAAUGGGGGACUACACAGAACACUUUAACCUGCACAAUGGGGGACCACAACAGAACACCCAUAAUGAGGGACAACAACCAAACAUACAUAAUACUUAAUGGGGUACAACCAAACAAAAAUAAUAGUUUAUGGGCCACCACAACAAAAGCAAACACACACACGAAGCAAACAAGCACACCAAAGCAACCAUAAACCAAAUGAAACCAAUGUUACACGCACCUUCGAAUGAACCUUGGAAUAAAACCCACUUCGCACUUCCAAAUACACUACGAACAAAGCCAAUAACACUUCCAAAUCACUAGCUUUCGAGAGCCCAAAUGCGAUUUUUCACUCUUCAUCAAUUGUGAUUUCAAAAGCCCUAAUUUCACUCUUCGUCAACUCACACAAAGCCCCUAAUUUUAUUUCGUUCAACAAUUAAAAACCCCUAAAUCAUUUAUUAAUUAAAUUUCAAUAAUUGACAUUGCUGACACAUAAUUACCAAUACUCACAGUUUUUUGACAGGUUUCAAUUCUUUACUGUCAAAUCAUCACUCCUUGUCAGUCUGCAUUUAACGGAGAGAACCUAAU
rnacentral:lncRNA from 1 species